GCACUGCUGACCAGUCCCAAAUAGGACGGAACAGCUGUCUAGUGC
rnacentral:hammerhead_ribozyme from 1 species